rnacentral:rRNA from 1 species
UCGCGGCCUAUCAGCUUGUUGGUGGGGUAAUGGCUCACCAAGGCAACGACGGGUAGCUGGUCUGAGAGGACGAUCAGCCACACUGGGACUGAGAUACGGCCCAGACUCCUACGGGAGGCAGCAGUGGGGAAUAUUGCGCAAUGGGCGAAAGCCUGACGCAGCGAUGCCGCGUGGGGGAAGAAGGCUCUCGGAUUGUAAACCCCUUGUAGGAGGAACGAAAAUGAGGGUCCCCGCCUUGAAAGCCCCUGCCAAAUACGUGCCAGCUACCUUCGUGACACCUACGGCGCGAGCGUUGUCCGGAUUUAUUGUGCUCAAAUAUCUCGGACGCAGAUCGCAAAUUCGCGGGUGAAAAUCCCCCGUGCAAAAUUGGCACGCCACCCCAUACUGCAGUGACUGGAACCGCGAAGAUGAAUGGGGAAUUCCUGGCGUGGAAUUUAAAUGGUAACAUAGAAAUAGGAACACCUACGGAAAAAGGCCCACUCUGGGCGGGUACUGAUGCUGAGGAUCUGACGCUUGGGGGGCGAACCGGGUUAAAUACCCUGGAUUACCUCCCCUGAUACGUUGGGCACUAGGUGAGGGGUCUAUUCUGUCGAUUCGGUG